GAGACCUUCCGGAGCGAUCUGGCGCGCGUCGCCAGCGCUGUCACCCUGGAGGCAGCAGGCGACAAAAAGCGCCUUGGGGUGGGAAGGCCUGCGUGGUCAACCUUGGGGACAGCGAAGAGCCUGGUGUCCCCGAAGACAACCCACGUCAGAAGGGCGGCGCCGCGCCCAGCGAGCGCACGGCGCCUCCGGAAGGGGCUCACCGCGAAGCCCGAGAACAAUUAACGGUGCUUCCAUGAACCCGCGCGCGGGGCCAGGGUUGCGUAAGUCCGCGCCCUCGCCCCAGGACUCCCCAGCCACCCAGGCUUGACCGCUCGGUGACCACGGGCCCGGGACUAAGGGCGGCAGCGACGCCAGAUGGAGUUCAGCAUUCAAGAUCAGAUCUCGCCACACAUCUUAGGAAGGAAACCGGUCAUUUACAUACGAAGGAGCCCUGGAGCCCGCAGAAGCAGAACCACCCCGAACUCGGCAAGAAUGCAGCCUCCAGUUCCUAUCACAACUAAACACUCCCCUGCCUCCACGAUAAACAGUAUCACCUUAAAUAAUUUGGAAAGUUUGGGGGGACUGAUGCUUGCUGGCAUUAAAAAAAAAAAAAAAAAGACC